AUUGAACGCUGGCGGCAGGCCUAACACAUGCAAGUCGAGCGAGCGGCGGACGGGUGAGUAAUGUCUGGGAAACUGCCUGAAGGAGGGGGAUAACUAAUGGAAACGGUAGCUAAUACCGCAUACCAUCAGAUGUGCCCAGAUGGGAUUGGCUAGUAGGGGUGGUAAUGGCUCACCUAGGCGACGAUCACUAGCGGGUCUGAGAGGAUGACCAGCAACCCUGGACCGUAUCCACGGUCCAUACUCCUCCGGGAGGCAGCAGUGGGGAAUAUUGCACAAUGGGCGCAAGCCUGAUGCAGCCAUGCCGCGUGUGUGAAGAAGGCCUUCGGGUUGUAAAGCACUUUCAGCGGGGAGGCGUUACCCGCAGAAGAAGCACCGGCUAACUCCGUGCCAGCAGCCGCGGUAAUAC
rnacentral:rRNA from 1 species